CGUACAGGUCUCCGUAGGUGAACCUGCGGAGGGAUCAUUACACAAAUAUGAAGGCGGGCUGGAACCUCUCGGGGUUACAGCCUUGCUGAAUUAUUCACCCUUGUCUUUUGCGUACUUCUUGUUUCCUUGGUGGGUUCGCCCACCUCUAGGACAAACAUAAACCUUUUGUAAUUGCAUUCAGCGUCAGUAACAAAUUAAUAAUUACAACUUUCAACAACGGAUCUCUUGGUUCUGGCAUCGAUGAAGAACGCAGCGAAAUGCGAUAAGUAGUGUGAAUUGCAGAAUUCAGUGAAUCAUCGAAUCUUUGAACGCACAUUGCGCCCUUUGGUAUUCCAAAGGGCAUGCCUGUUCGAGCGUCAUUUGUACCCUCAAGCUUUGCUUGGUGUUGGGCGUCUUGUCUCUAGCUUUGCUGGAGACUCGCCUUAAAGUAAUUGGCAGCCGGCCUACUGGUUUCGGAGCGCAGCACAAGUCGCACUCUCUAUCAGCAAAGGUCUAGCAUCCAUUAAGCCUUUUUUUCAACUUUUGACCUCGGAUCAGGUAGGGAUACCCGCUGAACUUAAGCAUAUC
rnacentral:rRNA from 1 species